AUUGAACGCUGGCGGCAGGCUUAACACAUGCAAGUCGAGCGUGGCGCGGACGGGUGAGUAAUGUCUGGGAAACUGCCUGAUGGAGGGGGAUAACUACUGGAAACGGUAGCUAAUACCGCAUACCAUCAGCUGUGCCCAGAUGGGAUGAGCUAGUAGGUGGGGUAAUGGCUCACCUAGGCCACGAUCCCUAGCUGGUCUGAGAGGUUGACCAGCCACACUGGAACUGAGACACGGUCCAGACUCCUACGGGAGGCAGCAGUGGGGAAUAUUGCACAAUGGGCGCAAGCCUGAUGCAGCAAGGCCGCGUGUGUGAAGAAGGCCUUCGGGUUGUAAAGCGCUGUCAGCAGGGAGGCGGUACUCGCAGAAGAAGCACCGGCUAACUCCGUGCCAGCAGCCGCGGUAAUUC
rnacentral:rRNA from 1 species